UAAACUAAAAAUGUCGUCUCCAUUGUUGUUUAACCUUGCUGCAGUUAUUUGAUUUUUGUAGAAGAGGCUGAAAUGUGCUGACUAAUGUAAUCACUCUCUAUUUUCUUGUAGAUUCUUGGCAUCUUAUCUCUCUAUUGGCAAAUUUUCAGGGGCUUCAAUGUUCUCAAUUGAUUGGAGAAGCAUUGUAAGGAAGUGAAGGUGCCGAACAUGUCCAGUUUACAAUUCAUUUUUAGAUAUUAUACAAUGCUUGGGCUUAAGGUUUGUGCAGUAAGGUUCAACUAUAUGAAAUUGUAUUUGUGGGACCCAUGGUUCAAUGAUCCAAACAUCUAUCCAGGUUUUCAGGUCUUCUUCUUGCCCUCCUUUUAGGCUCUUUCACUGCAAAGUUUAAUGACCUCGUUCUUAAUUGUAUUCUUCUUAGUCUUCCCAUGGAUCCAUUUUUGAACAUCCUCUAUGGUACUGAAAAUAUUCCCCACCUCACUCUCUAUAGAGUGCCCAUGAUAGGAGGUAUUGGUUUAGACGGUGUAUGAAAGGAAAGAUAGUAAGACCUUCAUUAGUUUCUCAUGACCAGAGACAAAUCAACAAGCCCACAAUCAUUGAAAAGCCUGAUAAGGAUAUCAUCUCGCCACAUGCAUAACCAUAACCGUUAGCAUCCUCACUCACCAACCUCUAAUUCUAUUGGAACCAUCCUCGAUUCUCCAUCAUUUUCAAUGGAAUGCCAGGAUAUGUAAAGGUUCUAAAUGUGUGUCACUUUUGGAUUGUUUUAGGAACUCAAGAUACCUGUGAACAUAGUAGUCUGUUUUUAUUUUCACCCUUUCUCAUUGUUCGGGUAGCAUUUUAUUUACUUAAGUAAAAGGGUAUGGUUUUUUUCUAUGCAUAUCAAUUCCUGUAGAUAUAGUUCCAUUUUUUGGAAGUGCAAGACCUGAUUUCAGAUCCUUUUUUACAUGGGAGUUUCAGAUCUGGUGCAUGUCUAUUUCAGGUCCAGUGGAAGUCCAGAGCCCUGUGUAGCUCAGUUUCAGAACCUUCCAUAGAGCUAUUUCAGAUUGGAAUAACCCUUGGGACAAAAGAGUGAAGGUGAACAUGUGUUUGCUGGACCUCAGGUUUGAGCUAGUGCACACAAAAGGGUAACACGACAUAUCAGGUUACUCAUUCUUGGAGAUUUGUUUGUAUCUUUAGUUGCACAAACCUUUUAUGAGGUGCCUUUCCUGAUUUGGUAUGCACUUUGGACUUGCACUCCUGCAUUCCCACUCACUCUUCCUAGCUGUUUAUGCUUGUUAACAUUUUGAACCAAAUGUUUCCUCUUCCGACACCCAAAUCUGAUACUGCUUCUCUUCUCACUUCAUGCAACUAUUGUUUGUAGCUGUGGUUUUGUACUUUUGCAAUCUCUAAUGCUAAGAUUACGCUGAUGCUUAUUAAAGUAAGGACCAGGAAUUGUAAAGUGAUUUUGAAAAAAAUAAAUUACUUUCUGCGUAUUUAAGGUUGGCAGCAAUAAAUAUAAAGAGUAAAUAAUGAAUGGUUUGAGAAGUCUACUUGUUCAAGAAUUCUAUUUGCUCUUAAGUUUUUCUAUACUAAGUUUUAUUUCCUGUUGAUUUUAUAUGUAUUCCUGUUUUACACAUGCAUUUCUUUAUCCUCUUCCCAUAUCUAAUAUUGAUGUUUGUUUGCUGACACAGAACUAGAAUUUCUGAAUGUGCAAUAUUGGGCUGCCCCAUUGGAUUCUUACCUGCAGAUUCGACCAAUCGAUUCCUCGGAAGAAAGGAUUGCCUCAUUGGUGUCUGAAAUUCAGGUAGGAUUUUUAUUUUUAUUUUUAUUUUUUGAAAUAAAGCAUUUUGCCCCCUCAGCAUAAAUUGGGCAGUGUCAUGGGUUAAUUUGCCUUGUAUUAUGUGAAACAGUUUUUCUUGAUCAAUGCAUUCAUUGCUUAGCUGCAGUGAUAGUUACAGCCA